AUUGAACGCUGGCGGCAGGCCUAACACAUGCAAGUCGAGCGAGCGGCGGACGGGUGAGUACUGUAUGGGGACUGCCCGAUAGAGGGGGAUAACUACUGGAAACGGUAGCUAAUACCGCAUACUAUCGGAUAACCCAUAUGGGAUUAGCUAGUAGGUGUGGUAAUGGCUCACCUAGGCGACGAUCCCUCGCUGGUCUGAGAGGAUGAUCAGCCACACUGGGACGUAGAAAAGGCCCAGACGCCUACGGAGGCAGCAGUGGGGAAUAUUGCACAAUGGGCGAAAGGCUGAUGCAGCCAUGCCGGGUGUAUUAAGAAGGCCCUAGGGUUGUAAAGUACUUUCAGUCGGGAGGCGUUACCGACAGAAGAAGCACCGGCUAACUCCGUGCCAGCAGCCGCGGUAAUUC
rnacentral:rRNA from 1 species